rnacentral:rRNA from 1 species
UGGGGAAUAUUGGACAAUGGGCGAAAGCCUGAUCCAGCAAUGCCGCGUGAGUGAUGAAGGCCUUAGGGUUGUAAAGCUCUUUUACCCGGGAUGAUAAUGACAGUACCGGGAGAAUAAGCCCCGGCUAACUCCGUGCCAGCAGCCGCGGUAAUACGGAGGGGGCUAGCGUUGUUCGGAAUUACUGGGCGUAAAGCGCACGUAGGCGGCUUUGUAAGUUAGAGGUGAAAGCCCGGAGCUCAACUCCGGAACUGCCUUUAAGACUGCAUCGCUAGAAUCAUGGAGAGGUCAGUGGAAUUCCGAGUGUAGAGGUGAAAUUCGUAGAUAUUCGGAAGAACACCAGUGGCGAAGGCGACUGACUGGACAUGUAUUGACGCUGAGGUGCGAAAGCGUGGGGAGCAAACA